rnacentral:misc_RNA from 1 species
AAGUCGUAACAAGGUUUCCGUAGGUGAACCUGCGGAAGGAUCAUUAUUGAAUAAACCUGAUGUGGUUGAAGCUGGCUCUCUCGGGAGCAUGUGCACGCCCGUCGUCUUUAUAUCUCCACCUGUGCACUUUUUGUAGACCUUGAUAUAACACUUUCCGAGGAAACUCGGUCGGGAGGAAUGCCGUGCGUCAAUGCCGGCUUUCCUUGAAUGUCCUGGUCUAUGUUUUCACAUACCCCAAAGAAUGUAACAGAAUGUAUCAUUGGGCCUUGUGCCUAUAAACUAAAUACAACUUUCAGCAACGGAUCUCUUGGCUCUC